AACGAACGCUGGCGGCAGGCCUAACACAUGCAAGUCGAACGAACCUUUCGGGGUUAGUGGCGGACGGGUGAGUAACACGUGGGAACGUGCCUUUAGGUUCGGAAUAACUCAGGGAAACUUGUGCUAAUACCGGAUAUGCCCUUCGGGGGAAAGAUUAAUCGCCUUUAGAGCGGCCCGCGUCUGAUUAGCUAGUUGGUUGAGGUAAUGGCUCACCAAGGCGACGAUCAGUAGCUGGUCUGAGAGGAUGAUCAGCCACAUUGGGACUGAGACACGGCCCAAACUCCUACGGGAGGCAGCAGUGGGGAAUCUUGCGCAAUGGGCGAAAGCCUGACGCAGCCAUGCCGCGUGAAUGAUGAAGGUCUUAGGAUUGUAAAAUUCUUUCACCGGGGACGAUAAUGACGGUACCCGGAGAAGAAGCCCCGGCUAACUUCGUG
rnacentral:rRNA from 1 species